UACGUAGGGUGCAAGCGUUGUCCGGAAUUAUUGGGCGUAAAGGGUGCGUAGGCGGCGCGGUAAGUCGGGUGUGAAAUCUCGGAGCUUAACUCCGAAACUGCAUUCGAUACUGCCGUGCUUGAGGACUGGAGAGGAGACUGGAAUUUACGGUGUAGCGGUGAAAUGCGUAGAUAUCGUAAGGAAGACCAGUGGCGAAGGCGGCUCACUGGCCCGGUACUGACGCUGAGGCGCGAAAGCGUGGGGAGCAAACAGG
rnacentral:rRNA from 1 species